rnacentral:rRNA from 1 species
UUGAUAGCUGUCUUGCACACACAUCAUGGUAAAAUAUUCAUCAGUACAAAUAAUAUGCUGCCGAAGUCUAAAACUAAAGGACAAAAAGACCCUUUGAAGCUUUAUAGGGAUAAAACUACGUUAUUGUCAAAGGAAGGUUAGCUUCUCCGCUUACUGCUAAAGCCUCACAAGAUUUACAACAUCAAGACCACUGUUUAAUUGGGGCGAUAACCUUAUCCACAGCCACCUAAGGUGAACAAAGCGAUACAAGGAUCCUAAAUACUAAUUUGACCAACUAAUAAGUGCAAAGAUACAUGUUUUGCUUAAUGGCCCAACAAGUCCUUCCCAGUACUUAAAUGCUAUCUUAAUGAGCUUUAAAUUAAUUUACCAGAGUGAAGCUACUCUACGGAUAACAGGCUUAAUUUCCGCAAUAUCUAAGGUCACAUUCUCAAGAAAAAUGCACCUCGAUGUCGGCUUAUCUCAACCAAGGUAAGUAGAUGAAUAAU